UUCCGUAGGGGUGACCUGCGGAAGGAUCAUUACUGAGUGAGGGUCCCUCGGGGCCCAACCUCCCACCCGUGUAUACCGUACCUUGUUGCUUCGGCGAGCCCGCCCCCCUUCCUUAGGGGUGGCACAGCGCUCGCCGGAGACACCAACGUGAACACUGUCUGAAGUUUUGUCGUCUGAGUCGAUUGUAUCGCAAUCAGUUAAAACUUUCAACAAUGGAUCUCUUGGUUCCGGCAUCGAUGAAGAACGCAGCGAAAUGCGAUAAUUAAUGUGAAUUGCAGAAUUCAGUGAAUCAUCGAGUCUUUGAACGCACAUUGCACCCCCUGGUAUUCCGGGGGGUAUGCCUGUCCGAGCGUCAUUGCUGCCCUCAAGCACGGCUUGUGUGUUGGGUCGUCGUCCCCCCCGGGGGACGGGCCCGAAAGGCAGCGGCGGCACCGCGUCCGGUCCUCGAGCGUAUGGGGCUUUGUCACCCGCUCUUGUAGGCCCGGCCGGCUGCUGGCCGACGCUGAAAAGCAACCAAUCUAUUUCAUCAGGUUGACCUCGGAUCAGGUAGGGAUACCCGCUGAACUUAAGCAUAUCAAAAAGC
rnacentral:rRNA from 1 species